AUUGAACGCUGGCGGCAGGCCUAACACAUGCAAGUCGAGCGGCAGCGGGAAAGUAGCUUGCUACUUUUGCCGGCGAGCGGCGGACGGGUGAGUAAUGACUGGGAAAUUGCCCAGUCGAGGGGGAUAACAGUUGGAAACGACUGCUAAUACCGCAUACGCCCUACGGGGGAAAGCAGGGGACCUUCGGGCCUUGCGCGAUUGGAUAUGCCCAGGUGGGAUUAGCUAGUUGGUGAGGUAAUGGCUCACCAAGGCGACGAGCCCUAGCUGGUCUGGGAGGAUGAACAGCCACACGGGAACUGGGACACGGUCCAGACUCCGACGGGAGGCAGCAGUGGGGAAUAUUGCACAAUGGGGGAAACCCUGGUGCAGCCAUGCCGCGUGUGUGAAGAAGGCCUUCGGGUUGUAAAGCACUUUCAGCGAGGAGGAAAGGUUGAUGCCUAAUACGUAUCAACUGUGACGUUACUCGCAGAAGAAGCACCGGCUAACUCCGUGCCAGCAGCCGCCGUAA
rnacentral:rRNA from 1 species